UACGUAGGGGGCAAGCGUUGUCCGGAAUCAUUGGGCGUAAAGAGCGUGUAGGCGGUCCGGUAAGUCAGCUGUGAAAGUCAAGGGCUCAACCCUUGAAUGCCGGUUGAUACUGUCGGGCUAGAGUCCGGAAGAGGCGAGUGGAAUUCCCGGUGUAGCGGUGAAAUGCGCAGAUAUCAGGAAGAACACCCGUGGCGAAGGCGGCUCUCUGGGACGGUACUGACGCUGAGACGCGAAAGCGUGGGGAGCGAACAGG
rnacentral:rRNA from 1 species